AAAGUCGUAACAAGGUUUCCGUAGGUGAACCUGCGGAAGGAUCAUCAUUGAUAGUUGGGGGUUGGUACCCCUUUUACUAAUUUUAUUCCCAACCAAUAUUGACGAGUUUAUUGACUGAUCUGUUUGGAGUGAUUGGAUUGAAUUUUUUUGAACAAAACUUUCAACAACGGAUCUCUUGGCUCUC
rnacentral:misc_RNA from 1 species